rnacentral:rRNA from 1 species
AUUGAACGCUGGCGGCAUGCCUUACACAUGCAAGUCGAACGGUAACAGGUCUUCGGAUGCUGACGAGUGGCGAACGGGUGAGUAAUACAUCGGAACGUGCCUAGUAGUGGGGGAUAACUACUCGAAAGAGUGGCUAAUACCGCAUGAGAUCUACGGAUGAAAGCAGGGGAUCGCAAGACCUUGUGCUACUAGAGCGGUCGAUGGCAGAUUAGGUAGUUGGUGGGAUAAAAGCUUACCAAGCCGACGAUCUGUAGCUGGUCUGAGAGGACGAUCAGCCACACGGGGACUGAGACACGGCCCAGACUCCUACGGGAGGCAGCAGUGGGGAAUUUUGGACAAUGGGCGCAAGCCUGAUCCAGCAAUGCCGCGUGCAGGAUGAAGGCCUUCGGGUUGUAAACUGCUUUUGUACGGAACGAAAAGCCCCGGGUUAAUACCCUGGGGUCAUGACGGUACCGUAAGAAUAAGCACCGGCUAACUACGUGCCAGCCGCCGCUGUAA